ensembl:lincRNA
UUUUGUUUUGUUUUGUUUUGUAUUGAAACAGGGUUUCUCUGUGAAACAGUCCUGGCUGUCCUGGAAUUCACUCUGUAGACAAGGCUGGCCUGGAAUUCACAGAGGUCUGCCUGCCUCUGCCUCACAAGGGUUGGAAUUAAAGGCAUGUGCCACCGCCACCUGGCUCCAGAUUUCUUUUUUCAACUCAUCACUGUGUUUCUGCCUAAAAGACCCAUCACAAGAAAUAGAUUAUCAUAGAAAAGGAGCAACAUUUACUUAAUGGAGCAUCGACAAGAAUUCACGAAGCAAAAAUGCGGCCGAAAGGGCUCCAGAAGCACUGGGAAAGAGCCAGGUUGGAUAGAAGGCUUUGCCUGCCACGCUGGCCCAAUGGCAGGUCCAGAAACAGGCCCCGCAUUCCACAGUUCCUCCGUUGACUCCAGGCUCACACUUUUUCCACUGCGCCAUGCUUGUCCAGUCUGCUUGUGGUCACUAGCAAAUGAAAGGACAACGUCACCACUCUGGCUCUGAAAGGAUUGGUGUAUUACACUUUGUUAAGCUAUACUUACAUCUGGGUAAAAAGUCUUUGUUCUCUUCCUUUUCUUCUUUAUUUUUUAAACUAAUAUGUUGUGCCCACAAGUAUUGCCAAGUGGUUAGGUGUGAAGAUAACACAUUGAGCUGGAAUAUAGAUAGUAAUUAGGUUAUAUAAUUUGCUAUAAAUUGAUGAGCAACUAAAGUUUCUUGAAAUUUAGCAAUCUAGUUGACUAGUUGAAUUAAAGCAGAUAGAUAUACUAUGAGGUUAGAUGUUAAUUUGUGCAUUUUUCCUGCUCCAGCUGUGCCAGGAUUACUGUAGAAGGAAUUUGCCUAUAUUGAGUACUGAUUUACGUAGUGUGAGAUGUCUUAAUUCCAGUGCAGACCUUGAAAGAGAAGAAAGUGACCAUUUUAGAAAGUACCCUUUUAUUUUUUACUAGGAGCAACAUGACUAAAUUAUAAUAUUAAGCUGGACAGUGCUGACCCAUGCCUUUAACCCCAGCACUCAGGAGGCAGAGGCAGGGGAAUCCCUAUGAGUUCAUGGCUACACUAAUUCACCAAGUGAGUUCCAGGACACCUAGGGCUACACAGAGAAAUCUGUCUCAGAAAAAAGUUAUAGUAAUUAUUUUAUGAUGGAAUACCUUGGAUUUCCAAUGGUUUGUGUAUUCUACUUUUAUUUGAAAUUGCUCUAUCUAUGACUAUUUUCAUUCAGCUCCCACUUUCUUGUCCCUGUAUCAGAUUACAGAACAAUUGUCUGUAUUAGGUAAUUAUUCACUUGAUUUAUUCACUGAAAUACCUUUUAACUGAAGAUAGGUAUGGUGCUUUAUGACUAUAAGCAUAUGGAGUUUUCUCAGCCUUUCAGGCUAUUAACAUUUUUUCAGAAUAGACUAGAAUAAAAAUAUUUUAAAUGUUGUUUUACUCCUCUUAAAUAUCCUCUACAUUUUUGUAGCCAGUUUCAAAAAAUGCAAAACUGCUUAAUAACCACUUUUGCCGUCUGCUUCUAGAAACAAAAAUGUCAAAUGUACAUCUUUUUAAAGCUUCUGAAAUACCUUUCACUCAGCUGAAAAUUAGAAUAAAAUUAAACAAUCUCUUUAAAGCAUCACAG